GACAGAGGGUGCAAACGUUGUUCGGAAUUACUGGGCGUAAAGCGCAUGUAGGCGGCCAAGCAGGUCGGAUGUGAAAGCCCUCGGCUCAACCAAGGAAGUGCAUUCGAAACCGCAUGGCUCGAGUCCCGGAGAGGAUGGUGGAAUUCUCGGUGUAGAGGUGAAAUUCGUAGAUAUCGGGAGGAACACCAAUGGCGAAGGCAGCUUGCUGGGACGGUACUGACGCUGAGGCGCGAAAGCGUGGGGAGCGAACAGG
rnacentral:rRNA from 1 species